UGAUAAAAGGAGUAAUUCGCUUCGGGAGGGGCCUGCGUCCCAUCAGCUAGUUGGUAAGGUAAUGGCCUACCAAGGCGAUGACGGGUAGGGGACCUGAGAGGGUGGCCCCCCACAAUGGCACUGAAACACGGGCCAUACACCUACGGGUGGCAGCAGUAGGGAAUAUUGGACAAUGGGCGAAAGCCUGAUCCAGCAACGCCGCGUGUGCGAUGACGGCCUUCGGGUUGUAAAGCACUUUUAGAGGAGAUGAGAAAGGACAGUAUCCUCUGAAUAAGCCUCGGCGAACUACGUGCCAGCAGCCGCGGUAAAACGUAGGAGGCUAGCGUUAUCCGGAUUUAUUGGGCGUAAAGCGCGUGCAGGCGGUCUAUCAAGUUGGAUGUGAAAGCUCCUGGCUUAACUGGGAGAGGUCGUUCAAAACUGAUAGACUAGAGAAUGGUAGAGGGAGGUGGAAUUCCGGGUGUAGUGGUGAAAUGCGUAGAUAUCCGGAGGAACACCAGUGGCGAAAGCGGCCUCCUGGGCCAUUUCUGACGCUAAGACGCGAAAGCUAGGGUAGCAAACGGGAUUAGAGACCCCGGUAGUCCUAGCCGUAAACGAUGUGGACUUGGCGUUGGCGGAGUUAAAUCUGCCAGUGCCGUAGCUAACGCGAUAAGUCCACCGCCUGGGGACUACGACCGCAAGGUUAAAACUCAAAUGAAUUGACGG
rnacentral:rRNA from 1 species